CCUGAACAUGCUGUUGCCAAAAGCAACGGUGACCCCAUGGAGCAAAAGUCCUGAUAAUCAUUAGGGCACACUCAGUCAGAAUUUAGGAAUUUGAUAUAUUCUGGCUUUAAUGAGAUUUCCUCUUGAUAAACUAAACUUUCUAUGAGGGAAGAGAGGGGGACUUUACAGGUAAAUUAAAUGAAGAAUUGGCCACUUCAUCUAAGAAUGGAAAGCCAGAGAGACAGGAAUGUUACAGUUCAAAUUCUCUGGUAGUGAAAGUCUAUAAUUUAUACUAGAACUACUCCAAAAAGAAGAAAGAAGAACAAAAAAGGAGAGCAAAAAGGAGCGGAUACAUCUAUCACUGGGAAACAGUACUAUCCCCAGAAGACACGCAGGCAUAUUCUUCUACUGAACUCUAAUGGCCUUUUCACUCAGACUACACUUGGGAGCUGCAGAAACACUGCAACAAAUAUGGGACACAGGAUCAAGAUCAGAAAUUCAGAAGUGCGGAGGCACACACAGCAAAGUCACGUGACGAUAAGGGCCACCUGGCGGGGCAGCAGCCUGGAGCACAGCUGCCUGUCACCUGAGAGAAAAAGCUCUCUUUGGUGAUAACCCCAUUUCCAACAUUUCACAAAGAUAUCACCUUUGCGAUCCAAUAAAGAUUACACAGAAACUAU
ensembl:lincRNA uncharacterized LOC102018366